ensembl:misc_RNA Metazoa_SRP Metazoan signal recognition particle RNA
GCCGGGUGUGGUGGUGUGUGCCUGUAAUCCAAGCUACUUGGGAGGCUGAGACAGGAGGAUAGCUUGAGCCCAGGAGUUCAAGUGCAGUGAGCUACAACUGCACCACUGCACUCCUGCCUGGGCAACAGAUUGAGACUCUGUCUUAA